GUGUAAGAUAAGAGUCUAAUUUCACCAUUUUGUAUUGUUGUUUAUUCAGUUUUCUUAACACCAUUUGAUGAAAAGAUUAUCCUUUUCCCAUUAUGUAUUUAUGUAUUCCUGGCACCUUAGUUGAAGAUCAGUUGACCAUAUACAUAUGAAUUUAUUUCUGGGUUCUUUGUUCUGUUCUGUUGGUCUCUUUUUAUGGCAAUAUUUAAUUACUGUAUCCUUGUAACAUAUUUUGAUACUAGGAAUUGUGAUAGCUCUAGUUUAUUUUUCUCCAAGAUUAUCUUGGAUAUUUGAGGUCUUUUGUGUGUGAAUUUUAGAAUUUUUCUUUCUAUUUCUGUAAAAAAUGUCUUUGGAGGAGAAGAUCCAAGAUGGCUAUCUAGAGGGAAGAUGCAUUCCUUGUCGCUCUGUGACUCGGUGUCCAAACAGAAGAAAUACUGUUUCUCUGCAAGGCAGUGUUGCUGUCCAUUGAUCUCUUGCUGUUUACCCACCAUUUGUCUGCUGUGAUCACCCAUUGUGUACCAGUAUAUAGCCUGCCUUUUGAACACAGAUCCCUUGCUGACUGCUGCCUGUCAUCUGCCAUUUGCCUGCCUCUUGCCUGUCCAUCGCCUGCCACCUGAUGUCCACCGGUGGAUCACCUGAUGUUAGUCUGCAGACCACCCACAGACUGCCAGCAGAUUGCCCCCUGCCUACUGUCCCCUACUUUCUGGAAGACCAUUGUCACAGUACCCACAGGUUUGGUUACAAGCAGUCACCACCAUCUUGGAACAUCCACCAAGACCUGUUGGUUUGUUGCUGCACCGCCGCCAUCUUGGGGCACAGCCACCUCAGUCUGGGAACACCAGCCAGAGCUUAGAAAUAUAUUUUUGGGGUACCUGCAGCUCUGAUUGCACCUGAGGUCUUUCUUCUAGGUGUGCUAGUGGCUACUAUCUGGAUGUCUCUUUGCAGGGUCGCUCCUUUGUGUAAGUGCAUCCCUGGUGAUCUCUCUGUAAGCUGAAACAGCAUUGAGAUCUUGGGACUGCAGUAAGGCAGAGCAUGGAGAAUCUGAAGCCCAGGUCUAUCAGAUUGAAGCUGGGCUUGUGUGGGCAAGUCUGGGUCUAGCAAGCCCAUGGAACACCAGAGAUUAGAGGCAAUUCCCCAAAGGGAGCACAGGUUGGAGAAACUGGAAAAAACUGGGCUCUCUCCAGCUCAGUGAGUCCUAAAGUACAUGAGGAUGAAAGGGGUUGGCUACAAGUGGGAAGCCUGGAAAAGGGUAUGAAAACAUCUUGUUAUUGGCUCACCCACCCAACCAGUACAGCACCAACCAGACUGGAGCUUCCGUCAAACUUUAGACAACCCCACCUAUCAGCAGAGAAGAGCAGCUGAGAACAUUUUUUAAAGCCAAUGGAAGUUAUUGUUCAAUUUUCCAUUGAAGUAUUCCUUUUUUUUUUCUCUUUUUCCCUCUCUCUCUACCAUCUUUGAAUCCAAAUAUUUUUCUUGCUUCAAUUAUUGAGAAAAUGGUACAUCUGAAUAGUAUAUUACAGUUUUGUUGUAUAUCCUUAUAUUUUUACUUUUUUUCUUUUUUAAAUCUGUAUAUAUUUUUUCUGUCGCCUAUCUCUCUCAUUGGAUUCUCUUUCUCAAUUAUCUCAUACUAACAGCCAACCUCUAUUAAUUACUCCCUCGGUAUUACUAAACAUUUUUACUUCUAUCUUCUCUCCUCCCUCAUAAACACCACAUCUUACACUACUUCUGUUCCCUCAUUGUCCAUCAUGAGAAAUGGUAGAACCUUUUAGCAUACUUACUAUAUUAUUGUAGACAAUAACUGAAUACAUCAUUUCUGGUUAUUGUAACAAAGCUGUAGAUGCCUUAAUGGGAUCUAUUUGGUUUAAAGGUAUAUAUUGUUUGCAUUUGGUGCUGUUAAUAUGGGUCUCUCCAUUAAAGAUAAGGUACUGGAAGCCUUCAGGGACACUAUAAGACUAUAGGGCAGAAACUGUAUUUCCUCAGAUCCAUACUGCUAGAUGGGAAGACACACAAACAACAC
rnacentral:lncRNA from 1 species